rnacentral:lncRNA from 1 species
GGGGUAUUCUUGUCAGAUGAAAGACUUUUAGUUAUAUUUAAAAAAUAGGGAAAUAUGACAUUAAAUUGGUUCUGUCUUUUUUUUAAAACAUCGUUAAAAAGAUGUGUGUCUAAGGUGAACGCCACAAGAACCCUGUAAUACUAGUACGAGAGUAUAGCAUGUAAACAUUCCUUCUCAAUAAUAUGGUUGUAUUGGAAAUCUUUU